rnacentral:rRNA from 1 species
GAGUUUGAUCUUGGCUCAGGACGAACGCUGGCGGCGUGCUUAACACAUGCAAGUCGAACGAGAUCCAUCUGUGCUUGCACAGUGAAGAUCUAGUGGCGAACGGGUGAGGAACACGUGAAGAACCUGUCCCAAGGAGAGGGAUAACAGUGGGAAACUAUUGCUAAUACCUCAUGUCGUUAAUUGAUCACCUGGUUGAUUAAUGAAAUGAAUUUCGCUUUGGGAGGGCUUCGCGGCCUAUCAGCUUGUUGGUGAGGUAACAGCUCACCAAGGCUACGACGGGUAGCUGGUCUGAGAGGACGACCAGCCACACUGGGACUGAGACACGGCCCAGACUCCUACGGGAGGCAGCAGUGGGGAAUAUUGCGCAAUGGGCGAAAGCCUGACGCAGCAACGCCGCGUGCGGGAUGAAGACCUUCGGUUGUAAGUACUACUGUCGGAGGGGAAGGAACGAAC